rnacentral:lncRNA from 1 species
GGCUGACACGACAUUACCGCCGAUGUGCUGACGCAUGUCAUUGGUAGUGGCGACGUAAGUUAUGAUCGGAAGGAACCGCAGGGAAUGUAACCGAAGAGACUUUUCCCCCCUCCUAUCUGUGCACGCGAAAUUACCAGAAACGCAAUCCAAAUCAACUUUGUAGCACGCUGAACAAAAAUUGAACCACAAACCUAACAAUUCCACGGAUUUUCCCCUAAAUUAGCGGAUUGGGCUCUCUGCUCGUGUAAAAUUUAAAGUAGUGAUCAUCUAAAUCUUAAUCUCGCUAUAUUCUUGCUUCGUUUUUUUUAAUUAAUUUUGUUUAGUCCUCAAUUUUUGAAUGAACGCUGUACGUUUUGGGUCCUCAAAAUUUCCUAGUUUAUGUGAAUGAAGCUGCGGGAGAUAUUUGUAUGAAUUUUUCAAUGUUGCUUCGAUCUUUUUCUUUGGAGAUAAACAAUGAUGCGUGUAUACGAUUUAGACAUGUUAUGGGUGGUUUUGAUGUUGAUGUUCCAAACUAGUUUCUUUAGUCUUGGUGGAUUCACAAAAUGGUGGUUUGUAUAGGAAAUUGUAGGAGCUCAUUCAUUUGAGUUAGCACCUGAUUUGUUGGGAUAAGCAGUGCAUGAGCCUAGCAACUGAAGGUGAAAUUGCUUGUAAUCCGAGUUCUUCGUUGUGUUGUGAAUGUCUUUAUGAGGAUUUCUAGUUGUCUAAGGUCUUGUGGACUCAAAAUUGUCUUUCUUCAGGUAUUGUUGAAGAGCGCUUUCCAGUUUGUUAUACCAAUUAAUAAGCAGAGAAAGAAGGAACUAUAUAUGUUUCUGUACAUGAAAGAAUCAGGUUCCUCUUUGUACCUAAUGAUCUUUUCUUUCAUGUAGAAUUUUGGUAUUGUUAUUUGUUGCCCUUUACUCAAUGAUGAACUUUGAUGGCUUCACCCCUCCCAAUUUUCAUGCUUCACAUUUCCACUUCUUUGAUCUCUGUAUAUGAACUCUGGAAUUGCAAGAAAUCCAGCUUUUAGCAGCCGAGGCAAUUCGAUUCAUAUUCUUCAGCUUGAGGUGUAAAUCCUUGUUUGCAGAAAGCUUCAACCAAUUCCUAGACCAAAUCCAGAAUUAUGAGUAAGAGAACACAAAGUUUGCUUGCAUAUUAUGUUCCAUUUCAACUUAUAAUUGGAGUAUCAUUCUUAUAUUCUGUUCUUUCUUUUCCUAUGUAUAUUUUUACAGUAUUUGGCUGCUGGAACAAGCCAAGACCAGCAUGUCUUGAUCAUAGUUUUCUUUCAAUUCACAUAUCUGGCUGCUCUUUCCCUUCCAAGAAGUUCUCCCAACUUUCUGGAUCUUGAGCUGUUGGGUAAUUUUCCUUUCAAUACAUUUAUGCAGAUACACCUCCUUUUCUUCGGCUACGAAAUCACUUGUCUUUACAUCAAUCUUACUUUUGCUUUCUUUUCUGAUCUUUCCUUCAAUAUAACUUUCCUUUCACUAUAUCGAUUAAUAAUAUACACUAAUCCACCCAACAUAUGCAUGACUGAACAAUUAUGAUCUUGUUUGAUCAUGUGAUCUUUCAAAUACUCAAUCUUAUGUAUUGUCAAUCUAAUCUAUCACCUGAUGCAAAGUGCAAACACCCUCUUAUAGGAUUGCUAAGAGGAAUAUAGCUAGGCUGCUAGUAGAACAGCUGUCAAUUCCUUCUAGCAACUUCGUCUUAUUAAGAUUGUUGGAAUAUCUUGCAUCAAUUUAGAGCAUCUCCAACCAUUUAAUCUAUGAAACUCUAAAAUAGAGUACGAGUUGAACAUCGAACAAUGUCCCACAUUUGCUGACAUUGCAACGCAGAACCUGCCAUGUGGAGUAAUUGAUGUUUCAUGCGGGCGUUGAAAGAAAAGGCGAGACCUAUGUCAUCUUCUCUUCUGCAACUGUUCUUCUACUCUUUUUUUUGUCACUUUAUUGAUUGGAAAUAGAUGAAAAUCUAUUACUUUUUGAGGUAUUGUGAUGUAUGAUUGCUUGAUAUUGGAGUGGGUUGCUUGUUAUCAUCAAAUCUUGGAUGCUUCUUGCUC